UACGUAGGGCGCAAGCGUUGUCCGGAAUUAUUGGGCGUAAAGAGCUCGUAGGCGGUUUGUCGCGUCUGUCGUGAAAGCUUGGGGCUUAACCCCAAGUCUGCGGUGGAUACGGGCAGACUAGAGGCAGGUAGGGGAGAACGGAAUUCCUGGUGUAGCGGUGAAAUGCGCAGAUAUCAGGAGGAACACCGAUGGCGAAGGCAGGUCUCUGGGCAGUAACUGACGCUGAGGAGCGAAAGCAUGGGGAGCGAACAGG
rnacentral:rRNA from 1 species